GUGUCAGCAGCCGCGGUAAUACAGAGGGUGCAAGCGUUAAUCGGAAUGAUUGGGCGUAAAGGGCGCGUAGGCGGGUUAUUAAGUUAGAUGUAAAAUGCCUGGGCUUAACCUGGGUGGGUUGUCUAAUACUGAUAAUCUAGAGUAUGGGAGAGGGAAAUAGAAUUUCCGGUGUAGCGGUGAAAUGCGUAGAUAUCGGAAGGAAUACCCGUGGCGAAGGCGAUUUUCUGGACCAAUACUGACGCUGAGGCGCGAAAGCGUGGGGAGCAAACAGGAUUAGAUACCCUGGUAGUCC
rnacentral:rRNA from 1 species